rnacentral:sRNA from 1 species
GUGAAUCGUGAAGGGUUUGAACCUGCAGCAGGUUCGAGUUGAGCGAAAGCGAAACAACGUUGCUUUAGCAACGGCCCGAAGGGUGAAAUCAUCCUGCACGACCCACCA